CGCCCCGAGCGGGGCUGAGGGAGCCGGGACCGCCCGGGGGGCUGGGGCGGCCCUGAGCGGUCCUGGGGGUCUCUCAGGGGUCCCCCGUGGGAAGGCUCAGGAGAGGCUGAGCCAGCCGGGUGUGCCGCACGGCAGAACCCUCGCCGUCCCAGGGCCCCCCUCAGACCGCGGGCACACCCGGGAGGAACCCGCGCUCACACCCCCGCCCCAGUCACUACACCCGGCUUCCAAUGGUUCCUGACGGUUAUUCACCCUUUCAGGGCAUGAGCAGUGCCAGGCUGGAUGUGUCACCAACCCCCCUCACCUGGGAUGAUCUGCCCUGUGUUUGCCCUGGGGAUGUUAUCAGAGCCUGGGGAAGAGAGGUGGAACCCGAAUUUGGCGUCAUGAAAGGUAAAAUCAAUUUCCCUGUAUUUUUUUUUAGUUUAUUUACGUGCUUUACUAAGGCCAAACUUCCUUGUUUUGAGAAAACGGAGUGGCACGUGUUCACAGUGCACGUGCUUGUAAGUCAUGGAAUGAGAGUAAAUAAUGUCCUGUGUCCAAUUUCUGGGCAUGAUAGGAAAAGGUGUGGAUUUAACCACCCCUUCUCCAAAGCAGAAUGUGGUUAUGAUUCAAAAUCCAGUAAAACUGUUGGAAAGUGGGUCUGAACUUUUUGAAUCUGUGUGUUUGUAUUAAAACACAGAUUAGUGCUGCCUGACAGCCCUUUCCACGAGAGAACUUGAAGCUUGAACACAUUUUUACCUAAUCCUUUGCAACUAUUUCAGUCAAGAAUCGAGGGACAUUUUGAAUCAUUUCUGCUCCUGUGUAAGUCACAGCAAAACCCCCCAGCUGUCCUAAAUAUGGGAUUUGAUUCAGCAUGGCCAGUAGUCAUCGCUGGGUAUUCCUUACCCUGCAAUGUGUUCCAAAUCACAUAUGGUAAUUGCUCUGAAAUCACAUUUCCCUCUAGGGAGUGUCCCACCACCACCUCUUCACUGUGAGGUGAGAUUUUCUUGCUGGAUUCAGUGGGAAGAGCAGGUGGGAAAGAUAAAGCCCAGAGCUUUUGUUUGCUUGUGUAAAAUAACAUACAGAAUAUUUUGGGAUCUAUUCUCUGCUGUAUGUAUACAGGCUAUAAACAACUGUCCUGCCCUGUGAUGUGAUGUUCCAGUGCCUGAUCACCCUCUGGGGGGAGAACCUGUUCCUGAGAUCCAUCCUAAACCCCCCUGGCACAGCUCCAGCUGUUCCCUGGGUCCUGUCACACCGAGCAGGGGUUGGAGCUGCAGCCCCUGGUGAGUCUCCCCUCAGUCUGCUCUGCUCCAUCUGAACACACCCAGUGCCCUCAGCCACCCCUCACAUGGCUUCUUCCCCUGACCCUUCACCAUCUUCAUAGCCCAGAAACAUCACCUUCCAAACCCAUGGGUUUUUUCAGGUGAAUGUAUUUAACUUGCUCUUUUUCACGUGUCCGUGCCUCUCUUUGCCCUUGGAUGGGAGCGUCGCCGCAGGAUUUCGGUGUGUGAAGCAAUCCCUCCCCCCCAGUGUUUGUGCCUGGCUGGGAGCACUGGGCAGGGCAGACAGGCAGUGUGCAGGUGCAGGUUUUAGCACGCCUGGAGCUCUGGGAGCACCAGCGAGGAUGAACUCAGCACCUGUCGUAAUCCCAGGUUUUGUAAGGUCUGUAUGUGGUUAUUAUCAGUGAUUUGGGACCAAUCCCUCAGCAAGCCAAGCACUCCCCCUCACUUCUGCAGGAGCUGGGAUUUGGGACUGGAGGUGAUUGACAACCUUUCUCUUUUAGCUCCUUCACAAAAAUGCUUCACCAGAGGAAGAGUCUUUAUGUAAAAGACACAUUUAUAUCUAUAAAUAAAAGUGUCCAUGCCCGAA